CUUCAACGAGCCGAGCCACAAGGGCCGUUCGGUGUCCCGCCGCUGGCCGUAGGUGGCCAGCACCGCCUGGGCCUC
rnacentral:antisense_RNA from 1 species